ensembl:lncRNA
GCAUUUGGCUGCGAAAGAAAGAAAGAAAGAAGAAAGAAAGGGGAGGGAUCUGUCUCUGUUCUCCAGCAUGAUUACUCAAACCAGGCUUUAAGAAAAGAUACAGAGUGACAAUCCCAUUCCACUGUCUUCCCAAAACACUCGCUGAAAAACACCCAAGACACCGGAGAGAUCAGAAAACAGAACAUACACUCAAAGACCUGAAUGAACGUUCAAGGAAAUAAAAUACUACUUCUUUCCAGCUGAUUCAUCUCCGGAUUGCCUCUCGUUGGAUCAUCUUGGUUGCUACUUACCCAUUCCUGACCUAUCCCUGCUGUCAGGAAGAUAAGAUAUCAUGAUUAGUCAAGUCCGGGCGUCAUGCUUACCACGGGUCCAGGGAACAGGGCCAAACAUAACUUGCUAUUGUUGGAUAGCAUCGAAAGACAAAACAAGAGAUGUUCACUACGGCGUUAAUGCACCUGGACAUUUUAUAGACCAAGUUGACAUCAGUGAAAUAUAGCUUAUUGGAAUUACGAAAAACAUGGUAGGAAGAAGGGCUGAGUGACAAAUCAUAAAUGCCACGUUGCCAAGAGUGGAAGAAUCGAAAUUGCAAGAAUCGACCUGUAAGAAAGUUGUCUGGCCUUAAGAAACACCCCUCUUCCUAAACACAACCAGGUAGUGAUGCGGUUCACAGGACCCAAGGAAUAAGAAGUCACAGCUAUUUCCUGACGUGUGGCCCGUGGGGUUCCCCUUCCAGGGGACAGAAGUAGGUAUGGGACUCUUCAUGAUGAAGGAGACUGAAAAUGUAUUGAUCGCAAGCUUCCUAAUGUUCUUUCAAGUGAUCUGAACUGUCAGAAGUGUCUCAGUCGUAGUGAAGACAAGUUCAAACUUCCGACAUAUAAUCUUUGAUAUAAGAUCCUUUUCUCCCUGCAAGAAAAUACCACAAUCCCCGCCCCCGAACGAAAUCACCGGCUAGCGGUCCUAUAGACAGAACCCAAGGCCAGUGAGCCCAAUGGCCACAAAGGGGAGUGAUGUACGUGUUUGUGUGCAGAAGGACCUGAGGACGCGGGCGAUGAGCGAGACAGGACGCUGCGGCCCGUUUGCAGAACUCGGACUUACAAGAUCAGCAGACUCUUUGCUCCCUGAGGAAGGGGAAACCACUCCUUCACCUCCUGCACCGCCGCUACGGGCAGACAGACUCACGACAACCCAGCGGACGAGGCCCUAUUUUCUGCCAGUGCGUUCGCAGUUUGCAAAGAGAAAAUGAUGGCAUUUGAAUGGGCAGGAGAGAAUUCCUGGUCAGCAACCAGGCGGCCUUCCAGCCUCCCGUCGGAACCACUGUGCUCACUAAAGAGCAGUCGACAACUUGGGGCUCGCCCAGCUGGUCUGGGUAGAUGAGAUUAUCAGGUCGAUCAAGACAGUGAUGAAGAGGGGCGCCUGGGUGGCUCAGUCUGUUGGGCGUCCGACUUCGGCUCAGGUCAUGAUCUCGCGGUCUGUGAGUUCCAGCCCCGCGUCGGGCUCUGUGCUGACAGUUCAGAGCCUGGAGCCUGCUUCGGAUUCUGUGUCUCCCUCUCUCUCUGCCCCUCUCCCACUCAUGCUCUCUCUCUCUUUCUCUGUCAAAAAUAAAUAAACAUUAAAAAAAAAAUUUUUAAAGACA